AUUAAGUUGAAUGAUAAUUUUGUUCCUAUCCUUCAGGUUCUUUCCAGAGAUCACUAUUAAAAUCAUAUUUUCUCAUAAUUUAUAUAGAAAGAGAAGCCAAAAGCAUUUUUCACAACUAUGGGAAAACUACCCACAAACUGUAUUCCAAAUAGGACAAACAUAAAAUUUCUUUAAAAUGGAAAACAGGGGAACGGGGAAGUAAGGGAUAAUAAUUUUUUUUUUUUUUUAUUGUUGGGGAUUCAUCUGAGGGUAAGGGAUAAUAAUUUUUUUUUUUAUUGUUGGGGAUUCAUCUGAGGGUAAGGGAUAAUAAUUUUUAAAUUAUAAACCUGUUAUUAUUAAUGAGUAUAACACUGAUGUUCAAAAACAUGCACAAAUGCAGAAUUCCCUAGCUACUCCCCAAAUCUUAUGUUAAAAACAUCAUUAGCUUCACAUUAAGAAGACAUUUGUUCUGUUCUCGACUACUUGAAGCUGGAAAAUCCUUUUCCACUAAUAACCUGUUAUUUCAACAGUUUAAUAGUAUUGCUAUUACCUGGAGCAGUUAAAAAAAUUGUAGUGCCAAAGUAAACUUGAAGGAAAACUUGGGAUUAAUUUCCCUACAGACUUUCCAUUGUACAUUAUUUAGUCACUCUGAUCAAUUAAAAGGGCUUUGAAAUCACAGUACUUACUUGUGAUACUAUUAAUAUUUCUUCUAUACCUCCUUGUAUUUAAACCAAAGGAAGUGUAGAAGAGUACACAGUUUCCCUCUUCACUUGGGUGCAUUUCCCAUCCCCUAAGGCAAAAAACUAGAUACACCUCUGCAUUCUUCAGUGAUUCCAUUAAUUUGUUCCAUCUGGGAAGCUUGGACGAUUUCUGUGCUUCCCACCUAUUUCCAAGUUAUUGAAAAAAUACACUUUAAAAGAGAAGGGUAAAAGAGAAUAAAAGAUAAUAUUUCAACCUUGCAUUAUGAGUAUGUCACUUGUUCUUAAAAAAUUAUUUGUGCAGUGAAGAAGAAGACGUGGCAUGUGGAAGAAUGAACACACAGCCGAGAGGCCCUGUUGCUAAGCUGUGCUGAACAAAAGAACCUCUAAGGAUUCUCCCCUGCAAUCCUGGCUCUGCCAUUAAUUCACUGUAUGCCUUUGGAAAGUUUAAAGAUAUAUGUCUGGAUCACAUUUGUGGGACCCACAAUGCUCAUGAGUGUCUUGUGCUCAAGACUGAAUGCUGCAUCUCAUUGGCAAAAAGUAGUCACAUGACCUCACCCUGUCACAUGAAUGCCAGAAAAGGCACUCUCACCGUGCACUUGGAAGCCAGCCAGCUGGAAACAGGUGUUGAACAGUCCUGAUAAGCACCACAGGAGGAGAAAGGGAAGGGGGAGGGGAGGACAAAUUUUGGAGAGUAUAUUUAGGAUCACCUGGGUUAAAUGCAGGUUUCUUCCUAUCAGAUAAUUUACUUGGGAAGGCCCUGGGAGUACCUCCAAGAUUUAAGCAGUCAAGCGCUAGAGCAACUAAAAUGAAGUUGUGAGACUGUCCUAUCACAGCCAAUGGAGAAAGAAAUACAGUUGGCAGAGAAGAAAAAAGCAACAAUUUAGGGAAACACACACAUACUCAAGGGCAGACAUUUGCAGAGAACACAUUGUGAUUUGCUAUCGAGCUGCUGCUUCUCUGGGCAACUCUAUCUAGCGUGCUCCAACGUGAAAAGCAACAAGGAUUUAUCGAAGGAUGGUUUGAGGGAUGAUAUUCUUCAGAGGAAAGCUGAGAAGUUGGUGAUUGUAUGCUUGAGAGUGCACAGAUCUGCCCAUACAUAUUGGAACACCUGAAAUUACAGACUCCAAAGGCCUCAACAUCAUUAUCACUGGAUAAUGGCAUCCCAGGUCUGAAAACAACAUGCACAAUACUGAUUUUAACUACAGACAGGCCAGACAACGAAGUGUGUACUGUAGAGGCAGACGGCCUGGGUUCACAAUGCCAGCAGUGUAACCACUGACAGCCUGCUUGACUUCUUGCCUCCUGGGCUAAUCCACCUGUUACAUGGGGGUAAUACCCAUUCCUCCCUCAAAGAAUUGUGUGUAAAAAAUCUCAUAAGAUUAUAGAUGUAAAGAAGUGAGAACCCAAAGAAAUCGUUCUGUAAAUUAGUAUUAAAUUCCAACUCUUUCCGUUUUAAAAUUUAAAAGAAAGACUUAAAAUGAGCAGAGCUACACGCCGGUCUCCAGCUGAUGUUUGGAGAAGCAUUAGUUGCAUUCCCUUCAUCUUUUCUCGUCCCUUCCCUUUAAAGAAUUUUAAAUGAGAAAGGCGUUUAUUUCCCUCAUAUCUGCACAAGCCGUUGAUUUGUCAGGAGAAAAAUACAAAGGCUUCCACAUUUUGGCUGUUCUGUUUCCUGAAUUAAAACUCUACUUCUGAAUUUAAGGCAGCAAAACACCCAUUCAGUGUUAUAAGAGUGAGUAAAAUAUAUAGAAAUGAGAAUAGCUUUGACAAGUCAACAUAAAUGUGAAUGAGACUAGAGAAAUAAAAUGCUCCAUAUGAGUGCUUCCAUUUUAAGUGGUUUUACCAACUUUCAAAUGAUUAGACAAUUUUGUCUCAUUCCUUUCAAAUUUACAAAUUAAUAUUUUUAAGAGAUGGAGUUAAUAACCAGUUAAAAACUAUAAAGAUUUCCUCAAUUGAAGUUCGGAGUUUUGCUAUAUAAAACUGAGAGUUACAAUAAAAAUAGCAAUAUCGUGCAAUACUAUAUUUGUAUUUCUCAGUUCAAUUGCUUUUUAUUUUCAAACAGUAGGCAACUAAGACAUGCCUGAGUGAAGUUUCCUAGGAGCCAAAUAAUUAAUCCAACAUUUAUCCUAAAUGCCGAACUAACUUAUAUAAUUCUUCAAGUGAAUAUCACAUCUUUGAUGGGGAUAUAGAAAUUGUUUCUACCUGAGGCUUCAAGAGCUGUGUCAUAAAGUAUUCUGAUUAAUCAAAAACACCUUGUAAUUUGUUGCAUUUGGAAGGCAGCUACCUAACUUGCUCAGUACUUUAACAAAAUACCUGUAAAAUUGCACAAUCAAAACUGUACCUCUGCCAAGCAAAGUGAGAACACCAACAGAAAGUAAGAGACAGCUAAAUCCCCAAAAAAGUCUAUUUCUGUGCCCUCCAAAUCCUCAAAAUGAAAUCAGCAAUGGAAAGAGAGUCUAAGUUUAAAAUGCAAUUAAAGUAAACAAUUUCAACUCAAUUAUUCUACUAUUUAGUGUUAAAAAUUAGAAUUUUUCUGGUCGAGUGUUUUAGUUCUUUGCCUCUGUUUUUAUUUUUAUUUUUUCAUAUGUGUGGUUUUAUUUUAAAGUUCCAUUGAGGCAAUAUACAUAUGCCAGCCAGAAAAUGCAGAUAUUAAGGGAUUUUAUUCAUAACAGGCUAAAUUUGUCUCUUGUGAAAGAUAAAAACACUUUAAAGUUGAUGAGUCUAUGAUUUUAAGUAAAAUCCUCAUUCAAAUGUGAUUGCUUUAUAGGUUUAACUCUGGUCAGAGUAAUUUGUGUUCUUUCUAUAUAUUACUCUAACUAUAAUAAAGCUGUUUAUGCAAAUGUGAAAUUGUUGCUAUUGCAGACUCUUUCCAACCAUGUAAGGUUGUAAUGUUAAACUCCCAUUCAAGAUCAAAAUUCCACAUAUUUACAACCUGCAAACAUCCAAAAUUCACACUUCAACAUCUGUGUGUGGCUGCCAACUUCUACUGCAAUCUAUGGCGUGCUUUUUCAGAAGUGGAAGAAAAUGAAAAAACCUUGAAGUAAGUACAAUUCAAUAAUUAUGUCAAUAUUUACCAAAUGUUUGCAAUGGCAUGCAUUUUAUUAAUUGAUAGCACCUAGAAACUGUGUUAGGGAUAAAAAAGCUUUAAAGAGUUUGCAGAAUUUUUACAGCAGACUGU